rnacentral:pre_miRNA from 1 species
AAUAUACUCCCUCCGUCUGAAAAUACUUGUCAUCAAAAUGGACAAAAAAGGAUGUAUCUAGAACUAAAAUACGUCUAGAUACAUCUCCUUUUAUCCAUUUUGAUGACAAGUAUUUCCAGACGGAGGGAGUACAUG